rnacentral:tRNA from 1 species
GAGGGUAUAGCUCAAGUGGUAGAGCACAUGCUUAGCAUGCAGGAGGUCCUGGGUUCAAGACCCAGUACCUUCU